GCCUUCGUGGUGUAAUGGUCAGCACACUGAGCCGGUAUUUACAGAGGUCCGUGGUUCGAUUCCCGGCGAAGGCG
rnacentral:tRNA from 1 species